UGCUGACGUCUUCCUCUUUUGUAGCUGGAAGUCACAGGGCAAAGCACUAAGCUGUGCAGUCACAGAAAAAGUCUAAGGGUGUGAAGGGACAGAGGGGAGAGUGUCCAGGGAAGAGUGUCAAGGGUGAAGAAGGAGGAGACAGGUGGGAGCAGAGGUGUUCAGGGCAAUGGCUGAGGCCAUCACCUAUGCUGACCUGCGGUUUGUGAAGGCUCCGCUGAAGAAGAGCGUCUCCAGCCGGUUAGGACACGACCCAGAGACUGAUGAGGAUGAGGAACUCACCUAUGAGAAUGUGCAAGUGCCCUCAGUCUCAGGUGGGCCCUUGAGCUUGGCUUCUUCUGCAGUAGGGGACAAAGCAGGGCUCCACCCCGAGCAGCCAACUGCGUCCUGGAGCUCCGUGACGUCACCCGCUGCCGGGAGGCUCCUCGCGGGUCGCGCAGCCUGUAUGCAGUACCUCUUUCUCGGCCUGCUGUUCACCAGCCUGCUGUUAGGGGUGGCCGCCAUCUGCCUGGGAGUACGCUAUCUGCAGGUGUCUCAGCAGCUCCAGCAAACGAACAGGCUUCUGGAAACCACUAACAGCAGCCUGCGACAGCAGCUCCACCUAACGAUGACCCAGCUGGGGAAGAAGGAGGAGGAUCUGCAGGGGUCCAGGAGGGAAGUAGCCCAGAGUCAGGAAGCACUACAGGAGAAAGAGAAGGUUUGCCAGACUACCCAAGAGCAGUUACAGGCCUGCCAGUCUGAGAUGGAGAAGACAAAGGAGGACUUGCAAAGUAAGGAGGUGCAGAGAAUGACCUUGGAGCAGAGGCUGAGCAGCAUGCACCACACACUGAAGCCCUUAUUCACGUGCCCCUUAGAAGAUUCCUGCUGUCCCGUGGGAUGGAUACUGAAUGAGAGGAGUUGCUUUUACAUCUCAUACACCGAGAGAAGUUGGGGGGAGAGCCGAAACUACUGUCAAUCUCUGUCCUCCGACCUGGCCACGUUCAGUGACAUUUCUUAUUAUUUGGUUACAGACCAUAACAGCGAAAGUAAGAUGUUGAUGCAAAUUAGCCCACCUGGUUCAUUUUGGACUAAUUACAGCUUUGCUAAGAGGCGGCAGCAGGCUCAAGGCAAACGAGGCACUGGGUAUUACAGUCAAAGCUCAAGCUGUUUUAAGGUACAAAGCAGGUGGCUAAGAAUACAGACGGAUGACUGUACUUCUCUUCUUCCCUGCAUCUGUGAGAUGACAGCUUUCAAGCACCCUGAUAGGGACCACUUUUUGCCCUGAGUUGGGUACUCAUGCCAACAGAAGCCUGCACCCUUCACCCUAACUGCAGUUUGCAGGCCCUAAGAUCAUCUCCCUCUAGCGUUCUCUCACUCUGCCUGGGCAGUGCCUAGCCAAGGGCUGAUCCAUGCCCAACACUUCUAGCCAGCCUGUUGCCUGCUUGAAAUCCUGUCCCAGAAGCUGGACUGUUCCUGGGAAACUGGUGAAGAAGUCACUAGAAGAGAUUUUGGCCUCCCCAAAAACUUCCCAUAGUGGCACUGCAGGGGGGUGGAGGAGGGCGCAUGGGCUGAGUGGAUAGGGGCAGCCCGGAGCCAGCCAGGCAGUUUUAUUGAAAUAUUUUUAAAUAA